rnacentral:tRNA from 1 species
GCCUGGGUGGCUUAGUCGGUUAAGCGUCCGACUUCAGCUCAGGUCGCGACCUUGCGGUCUGUGAGUUCGAGCUCCGCCUCGGGCU